UUCGGAUCGUAAAGCUCUGUUGUAAGAGAAGAACGUGUGUGAGAGUGGAAAGUUCACACAGUGACGGUAACUUACCAGAAAGGGACGGCUAACUACGUGCCAGCAGCCGCGGUAAUACGUAGGUCCCGAGCGUUAUCCGGAUUUAUUGGGCGUAAAGCGAGCGCAGGCGGUUGGAUAAGUCUGAAGUUAAAGGCUGUGGCUUAACCAUAGUAUGCUUUGGAAACUGUUCAACUUGAGUGCAGAAGGGGAGAGUGGAAUUCCAUGUGUAGCGGUGGAAUGCGUAGAUAUAUGGAGGAACACCGGUGGCGAAAGCGGCUCUCUGGUCUGUAACUGACGCUGAGGCUCGAAAGCGUGGGUAGCGAACAGGAUUAGAUACCCUGGUAGUCCACGCCGUAAACGAUGAGUGCUAGGUGUUAGGCCCUAUCCGGGGCUUAGUGCCGCAGCUAACGCAUUAAGCACUCCGCCU
rnacentral:rRNA from 1 species